CGGGCUUACACAUGCAGUCGAGCGGGGUGAUGGUGCUUGCACUAUCACUUAGCGGCGGACGGGUGAGUAAUGGUUAGGAAUCUGCCUAUUAGUGGGGGACAACAUCUCGAAAGGGAUGCUAAUACCGCAUACGUCCUACGGGAGAAAGCAGGGGAUCACUUGUGACCUUGCGCUAAUAGAUGAGCCUAAGUCGGAUUAGCUAGUUGGUGGGGUAAAGGCCUACCAAGGCGACGAUCUGUAGCGGGUCUGAGAGGAUGAUCCGCCACACUGGGACUGAGACACGGCCCAGACUCCUACGGGAGGCAGCAGUGGGGAAUAUUGGACAAUGGGGGGAACCCUGAUCCAGCCAUGCCGCGUGUGUGAAGAAGGCCUUAUGGUUGUAAAGCACUUUAAGCGAGGAGGAGGCUCUUUUGGUUAAUACCCAAGAUGAGUGGACGUUACUCGCAGAAUAAGCACCGGCUAACUCUGUGCCAGCAGCCGCGGUAAUACAGAGGGUGCAAGCGUUAAUCGGAUUUACUGGGCGUAAAGCGCGCGUAGGCGGCCAAUUAAGUCAAAUGUGAAAUCCCCGAGCUUAACUUGGGAAUUGCAUUCGAUACUGGUUGGCUAGAGUGUGGGAGAGGAUGGUAGAAUUCCAGGUGUAGCGGUGAAAUGCGUAGAGAUCUGGAGGAAUACCGAUGGCGAAGGCAGCCAUCUGGCCUAACACUGACGCUGAGGUGC
rnacentral:rRNA from 1 species